rnacentral:snRNA from 1 species
AGAUGUGAGGGCAAUCUGGCCGUGACAUCUGUAACCCCAUUGAUCACCAGGGUUGAUUUGGCUGAUCUGGCUGGCUAGGCGGGUGUCCCCUUCCUCCCUCACUACUCUAUGUGUGUCCCUCUCGAAGCUGUGCACUCGGUGGAAGAGGACGACGUCCCAGGUACUGUAUAGAAGGAGUGUACCAAGGUCCCCAGUCUUUGAUCCCGGGUAUAUGAUAGUUGCGCUCCCCUGCUAGAACCUCCAAACAAGAUCGCAUGUUCCAAUAUAAAUUACUGACGUGCACAUGCGCAUUCGGGAAGGAAGAUCGGUCCCAUCUCCAUCUCAAGCUAGGCUGAUGGAAAU